GUUGUUUGUUGUUACUGUUGCCGUUGUUUGUUGUUACUGCUGUUGUUUGUUGUUACUGCUGCCGUUGCUGUUGUUUGUUGUUACUGUUGCCGUUGCCGUUGUUUGUUGUUACUACUGUUGUUUGUUGUUACUGCUGCCAUUGAUGUUGUUUGUUGUUACUGUUGCCGUUGCCGUUGUUUGUUGUUACUGCUGUUGUUUGUUGUUACUACUGCCGUUGCUGUUGUUUGUUGUUACUGCUGCCGUUGCCGUUGUUUGUUGUUACUGCUGUUGUUUGUUGUUACUGCUGCCAUUGAUGUUGUUUGUUGUCACUGCUGCUGAUGCUGUUGUUGUUGUUGGCAAUGGUAUAGAAUUUUCAUAUCCUCGCAUUUUCGCAUUUUCACAUUUUCACAUACAGUAGACAUAUGGUGGCAUAGGCAUAGGCAUAUAUCCGAA